UACGUAGGCAGCGAGCGUUGUUCGGAGUUACUGGGCGUAAAGAGUGCGUAGGCGGUUUUCUAAGUUUGGUGUGAAAUCUCCCGCUUAACUGGGAGGGUGCGCCGAAGACUGGAAGGCUUGAGUAUGGGAGAGGUAAGCGGAAUUCCUGGUGUAGCGGUGAAAUGCGUAGAUAUCAGGAGGAACACCUGCGGUGUAGACGGCUUACUGGACCAUCACUGACGCUGAGGCGCGAAAGCUAGGGGAGCGAACAGG
rnacentral:rRNA from 1 species